rnacentral:rRNA from 1 species
CGGGAUGCUUAGGCAUCUAGUGGCGGACGGGUGAGUAACGCGUGAGAAUCUGGCUCCAGGUCGGGGAUAACAGUUGGAAACGACUGCUAAUACCGGAUGUGCCGAGAGGUGAAAGAUUUAUCGCCUGGAGAUGAGCUCGCGUCUGAUUAGCUAGUUGGCGGUGUAAGGGACCACCAAGGCAUCGAUCAGUAGCUGGUCUGAGAGGAUGAUCAGCCACACUGGGACUGAGACACGGCCCAGACUCCUACGGGAGGCAGCAGUGGGGAAUUUUCCGCAAUGGGCGAAAGCCUGACGGAGCAAUACCGCGUGAGGGAGGAAGGCUCUUGGGUCGUAAACCUCUUUUCUCAAGGAAGAAGAAAGUGACGGUACUUGAGGAAUAAGCAUCGGCUAACUCCGUGCCAGCAGCCGCGGUAAUACGGAGGAUGCAAGCGUUAUCCGGAAUGAUUGGGCGUAAAGGGUCUGCAGGUGGAACUGAAAGUCUGCUGUUAAAGAGUUUGGCUUAACCAAAUAAAAGCGGUGGAAACUACAGAACUAGAGUGCGGUAGGGGCAAAAGGAAUUCCUGGUGUAGCGGUGAAAUGCGUAGAUAUCAGGAAGAACACCGGUGGCGAAAGCGUUUU